rnacentral:rRNA from 1 species
ACCGCAAGGUUGAAACUCAAAGGAAUUGACGGGGGCCCGCACAAGCGGUGGAGCAUGUGGUUUAAUUNGAAGCAACGCGAAGAACCUUACCAGGUCUUGACAUCCCGAUGCUAUUCCUAGAGAUAGGAAGUUUCUUCGGAACAUCGGUGACAGGUGGUGCAUGGUUGUCGUCAGCUCGUGUCGUGAGAUGUUGGGUUAAGUCCCGCAACGAGCGCAACCCCUAUUGUUAGUUGCCAUCAUUAAGUUGGGCACUCUAGCGAGACUGCCGGUAAUAAACCGGAGGAAGGUGGGGAUGACGUCAAAUCAUCAUGCCCCUUAUGACCUGGGCUACACACGUGCUACAAUGGUUGGUACAACGAGUCGCGAGUCGGUGACGGCAAGCAAAUCUCUUAAAGCCAAUCUCAGUUCGGAUUGUAGGCUGCAACUCGCCUACAUGAAGUCGGAAUCGCUAGUAAUCGCGGAUCAGCACGCCGCGGUGAAUACGUUCCCGGGCCUUGUACACACCGCCCGUCACACCACGAGAGUUUGUAACACCCGAAGUCGGUGA